GGUUGUUGUGCAAAUCAGCCAAUUCGUAAAGGCGCCUAUAGCAAGCCCUUUUUUAGUAUACAAGCUGAGGGGGGCAUUUGCCCCCCCCCCCCCAGGCCCCUUUUUGCCCCCUACCCAUUAGUCAAUAUUCCGCCCAGUCCCUUUUCUCUAAAAUACCGUAAACCUCCGAAUGUAAGCCCCCCGAAUAUAAGCCCACCCAAAUAUAAGCCCACUUGUUUAUCACUAUUGUUUAUCACUAUUGUUUAUCACUAUUGUUUAUCACUAUUAAUCACUAUUAUUAUUAUGCUUAAACUUGUUUAUCACUAUUACACUAACACAAAAGAUCGUCCAUGUAUAAAUCCCCCCCCCCCCCCCCCCGUAUAUAAGCCCACCCUUGUAUAAGCCCAUGAAAAAUCGCUUACGAAAGAAUAUAAGCCCAGGGCUUAUAGUCGGAGGUUUACGGUAUAAGCAAAACAUUGGAAGAAAAAUAGAAUUUAGAGCCGAUCGAGGUUAGAUAUUCUAGUAACUGAAAAUUGCUUUGUGAAUCUUAUGUAAUGUCUUUUAUCUUCGUCUUUUAAAAACUGCCAGUGGGUAGCAUAUCCCAGACCCUAUAGAUUUGAGAUGUUGGAAGGUUAGGCUAAACAAGUUAGUGACCGAGUUGUGCCUUACAUAAACGUACCAUGCAAGUACUUAACUGAAGAUUCAGUCUAUGUACAGUAUAAUGCAACGCUGUAUGUCCAAACUGAAUCUGUUUCAGAAAACACACGAAGCAUACGACUUUUUUUCACCAACACCAUCAGUCAUCUCUCCAUACUCAGUACAGUAUGGUCCCUUUCUGUAGAUUGUCCCCCCCCCCUGACGAAUUCUUUAAAAAAAACCUGGCCUAUAGUGGACUUAGACCGCUAUUGUUUGUUAUCAUAAUGGCUUCGAUAAGGGAACUUGGUCGACUACGUUAGAGUACGAAUUCUUUAGUUUGGAGACUUUCAUUUUUAAUGUUCAAAUUGCUAUUUAUUUCUAUAUACAUGUAAAAUCUUCUUCAUGCAGAAUACAUCAUAUUUUCCAAAGAAUUAUACAAUAUUCUGCGUGCUACAUUUAAAAAUAUUUAAACAACUGCAAGACUAGAUAAAAUGCUUGUUGUGGACUACCCCUUUUUCCAAUUCUACGCUUUCGUAAACAAAAACGGUAGUACAGUAUAAUUAGCCAUGUGAGUUUUCGAAAGCCAAUUGAGAAGAUCUGGACUGCGCGUCAAAAUUGACGCGUUCUGCGUUGGAGUAAAUCGCGGUUGAAUCAUAACAUGGAAGCAUUAAAUAUAUGCAUGUCAAAGUAUUGAAAUGUUUAAUCAUUAUUUGUGUUUUAUGGCCACAAUAGAACUGUCAAUAAAUGUUUGUCCUAGCAUAUUUUGUCCUCUCUUCUCUCAAAUAUAUAUAAAGAAAGAAAAUUUUCCCGCGAAAAUAAAGAAAGGUACACUUGAUCAGGGAUUAUAUUUUCUAAUUUUAAGCGAGUCAAUCGUACGAAAACCAAUUUCUUUUAAGCAACUUUUUUGCAAAUUCAA